GACGAACGCUGGCGGCGUGCUUAACACAUGCAAGUCGAACGGAAAGGCCCUGCUUUUGUGGGGUGCUCGAGUGGCGAACGGGUGAGUAACACGUGAGUAACCUGCCCUUGACUUUGGGAUAACAUCAGGAAACAGGGGCUAAUACCGGAUAGGAGAUCCUGAUGCAUGGGGGGGGUUGGAAAGAGUCGGCGGUGGGGGAUGGACUCGCGGCUUAUCAGCUUGUUGGUGGGGUAGUGGCUUACCAAGGCUUUGACGGGUAGCCGGCCUGGGAGGGUGACCGGCCACAUUGGGACUGAGAUACGGCCCAGACUCCUACGGGAGGCAGCAGUGGGGAAUCUUGCACAAUGGGCGGAAGCCUGAUGCAGCAGCGCCGCGUGCGGGAUGACGGCCUUCGGGUUGUAAACCGCUUUCGCCUGUGACGAAGCGUGAGUGACGGUAAUGGGUAAAGAAGCACCGGCUAACUACGUG
rnacentral:rRNA from 1 species